rnacentral:rRNA from 1 species
UACGGAGGGGACUAGCGUUGUUCGGAAUUACUGGGCGUAAAGCGCACGUAGGCGGAUUUGUAAGUCAGGGGUGAAAUCCCGGGGCUCAACCUCGGAACUGCCUUUGAUCACUGCAAAUCCUCGAGUCCGGAAGAGGUGAGUGGAAUUCCUAGUGUAGAGGUGAAAUUCGUAGAUAUUGGAAGAACACCAGUGGCGAAGGCGGCUCACUGGCCCGAUACUGACGCUGAGGCACGAAAGCGUGGGAGCAACAGG